AUUGAACGCUGGCGGCAGGCCUAACACAUGCAAGUCGAACGGUAACAGGAAGAAGCUUGCUUCUUUGCUGACGAGUGGCGGACGGGUGAGUAAUGUCUGGGAAACUGCCUGAUGGAGGGGGAUAACUACUGGAAACGGUAGCUAAUACCGCAUAACGUCGCAAGACCAAAGAGGGGGACCUUCGGGCCUCUUGCCAUCGGAUGUGCCCAGAUGGGAUUAGCUAGUAGGUGGGGUAACGGCUCACCUAGGCGACGAUCCCUAGCUGGUCUGAGAGGAUGACCAGCCACACUGGAACUGAGACACGGUCCAGACUCCUACGGGAGGCAGCAGUGGGGAAUAUUGCACAAUGGGCGCAAGCCUGAUGCAGCCAUGCCGCGUGUAUGAAGAAGGCCCUCGGGUUGUAAAGUACUUUCAGCGGGGAGGAAGGGAGUAAAGUUAAUACCUUUGCUCAUUGACGUUACCCGCAGAAGAAGCACCGGCUAACUCCGUG
rnacentral:rRNA from 1 species